GUCAGGUCUCACUGCCCCUAGAAGGCAGGGAUCAGAUCUUAACUGUAUCUGGGCCCUUCACUGUGCCGAAUGUAAGACUGACCCCACUUCGUAUUUAGGUCUGUACAGUGACUGCCUGAUCCGUCUCACUGAGCUGUGACAGAAAGCAGUCCAUCUCCUACAGUCCUGCCCUAGGGAGCCACAGAGGCAGCCUGGCCUCACACGCAAGACACCCCUGCAAUGCCCCUCUCCUUUCUAGGCUCCACCAAGUGAAGAUUUGUAACCUUUCCUAACAAGCAAAACAGAGGGAGGGGAAAAUGCAUUAGGCAGGGGCGGGAGGAGCCUGGGGCGAGGAGGGGGCUGAGAGGGCUGAGCCCUGGGACCCUCAUGGCCCCUCACGGAGUCUCACUCCCACCUACCCGGGCUCAUGAAGGCUCAGAAGCCCCAGAAAGAGGUUCCUUCAAGGCCUCAUUGCACCACCAAGAUGACUCUGGGGAGAGUCACCCCCAACACGGCCUAUGACAUCUCUCCAAUGGGAGGGUCAGCUCUCCUCCAGGAACAACUCACCCACAAUCGCUAAAGAGCAGGAAGAAGGCAAGCAGGGCUCAAGAUGGACAAGUAGUCUGCUAAGAGAAAGGGGACAGACAGGAACAGGGGGUGUCCGCCAGGUAAGCCGGCAGGAGAGGGGUCCCUUCUCCUCUGGAGUCUGCCCUUGUCUUUACAUGUCUGAAAUGUUCUCCAAUCUGCCAAGGACGCAGAGCUUCCUGCUCCGGUGUGGGGAGCAGCAGCCCGAGGCGUCAUGAUGCCCUGGGUUUGGGUCUCGGCUCCACACUUGGUCAAGUCAGCACAGGCUGGGAGACUCAGCAUCCACAACCGCGCUGGGAGGAGUGCGAUCGUAAGAGCACAC